GACAUGGCUCAGCAGCUAAGAAUGUUUGUUGCUCUUGCAGAGGGUCCAGGCUUGGUUCCCAGCAUCCAUGAAGCAACUCACAGCUGCCUGCUAGUCCAGUUGUAGGGAGUCUGACAUUCAUUCUCUUCUGGUCUCCACAGACACCUACAUGCAUUAUGUGCACAUACAUACAUUGGAGAAUACAUACAGUAAAUAAGUAUUAAAAAAAACUUACACUUAAAGCCAAAAAAUAAAUAAAAGAGUUAAGUGAGGACAAAUUACUGUAUUUAGUCAGGUGUGUUGUACCACUUCACAUUUGAUGUUUGUGCAGUAUUGUAAAUACCAGUCCUUUCCUUCCCCCUUCACUCCGUUCAAGACAAGGUCUCAUGGAGCACACUCAGGCUACCCUUGAACUUGCUUCAUAACCUAGUCAGCCUUGAACUGCUGGUCCUCUCACUGAAGCUCUAUUCUUAGUUUUUAAUUUUAUAAUGUGGAAAUUGCUUUGGGGGCCUGGGGAGAUAGAUCAGUCUGUCAAGUGCUUGUCAUACAAUCACAGACACUGAGUUUAAAUCCCAGCAUCCAGUUAAAAACUCAGUUGUUGCUUGUCAUUCCAGCAUGUUUGUAAUCCUCUCUUGGGAGGCAGGGACUGAUGAAUCCCUGGGGCUCCCUAACCAGUUGUCAUAGCCUAAUUGUUGAACCUUACCACUUAGAGAAGUUGUUUUAAAAACCCAAGGUGGAGCUGGGUGGUAGUGCAUGCCUUUGGGAGGCAGAGUCAGGCAGAUCUCUGAAUUCAAGGCUAACCUGGUCUACAGAGUAAGUUCCUGGAUAGACAGGGCUACACAGAAAAACUGUCUAGAAAAACAAAAAAAAAUUAAAGAUAAUCAAACAUUUUCCUUUUUUGUGAAUCUGUGUAUGAUGAAUACUCUCACAAUAAUGAUGGUGAACAUAGGGAACUCAGGACAGCUUGUGGAAGGUCUUUCCUUCUUCCAUGUGGGUUGUGGAAACUGAACUAGUAGGUUCAAUUAAUUAGCCCAGGUUGAAAUUCUUUCUUUCUUUUUUUGGACUUGCUAAUUCUGAUACCUCUGCCUCACUUGUGCUAUUAUGUUGGCUGAACUUAAAGCUUUAUAAAAGCCGACCCAGGAGGUGGAGGCAAAGGGUCAGGAAUCGGUGUCAUCCUUGGCUGCAUAGAAAAUUCUAGGCUACCCAAUCACCCAACUCAAAAAUAAACAAAUGGGCCGGGCAGUGGAGGCACACACCUUUAAUCCCAGCACUUGGAAGGCAGAGACAGGCGGAUUUCUCAGCCUGGUCUACAUAGUGAAUUCCAGGAUGACCAGGGCUCCGCAGAGGAAAAAAACCCUGUCUCGAAAAACCAAAAAAAAAAAAAAAAAAAAAAAAAGAAAGAAAGAAAGAAAGAAAAUAAACAAAUGGACUGGAGAGGUGGCUCUGCAGUUAAGAGCACUUAAUGCUUUUGUGGAAGACCCAGGAUUAUUGAUAACCACUACUCUUGUAGAGGCUUAAAACUAUCUAUAACUUCAUUUGCAGAGGAUCCUGUGCCCUCUUUGGAGCUCAUCCUUGGGUACCAGGCAUGCUUGUAAUCCUAGCACUUUGUAGGUGCAAGAGGCCAGUUUCUACUAGAUAGCAGAAUUCAAAGCUAACCCAAGUUAUCCAACAUCUCAAACAACAGAUACAUGGCUAGAAUUAAGCUUCAGGAACUUAAUUGAUUCUCAUAGCUAUAUUACGGUGUGUGUGUGUGUGUGUGUGUGUGUGUGUGUGUGUGUAUCUUUGGAGGUCAGAAGAUUGUUAGGAUCCCUUGAAGUUAGGGAAUGUCUGAGCUUCGGUGUGGGUGCUGGGAACUGAACCUGAGUCCUUUGCAAGGACAACUGCUCUUAAUUUCUGCAUCACUUCUCCAGCCCUUCUUUGCAAUAGAUAGCUUUGGCAUGUAGUUUUGAGAUGUGUGAACAGAUGAACAGAGGUUAUGGAAUCUUCCUCCUUUCUUGGUGACCGAUAACCAUACCCUCUCUCACUCUCGCCCCCUCCCCCCAGGGUAUCUCUGUGUAGCCCUGGUGGCUGUCUUGGAACUCACUCUAGACCAGGAUGGCCUCAGAUUCAGAGAUCUACAUGUCUCUGCCUUACUGAGGGCUGUGUUACAUUUUUCUUAAUGAUUCUGACUUACCUUCAUUUCACAAUGCUGCCAAUAUUUUUCUUAGCCUGUUUUAGUAUUUUUUCUUGUCAUAUCACAAGUGACAUAAAUAACGAUCUUCCAAUUUUCUUUCCUUCAUCUGAAGACCUAGAAUUAAAUGUUGGUUAUUAGUGAUAGUGUUUAUUUAUUUUACUUUUGUAUGUCUUAGUAUACAGAUGAGGAAAUUAUUUGGCAGCUAUUUGAGGGUAGCUGCCAGCAAGUCAAGAUUAGC
rnacentral:lncRNA from 1 species